ACCAAUCUAUGCAGGCCCGCAAGUUGCCUGAGGGCUUGUUGUUGGGUGGGACCAGUCUCUAGGGUGGGCUGCCUGCCCUGGCUGAGCUGGAUUAAAUCGGUGCUCUAGCGGGUGGGGCAGACCCUGGGCUAGCAGGCCCCAGGGAGAACUCCAAUGGCGUCUGUGUCAGCACGCCCACACCAGGCCACAACAAUGGCCGCCACCAAUGUCCCAGUCCCUGGAGAGGUCUCACCCCUCACCGAGAUGCACUCAGGGCCUAUUAGGUUGACAUAUGGUGUCAGAAAGUGGAACUUGAAGUGAUCUCACCUCUGUGGACUGGCAUCCUCUGGAAACGGAUUCAGUACCAACACAUGUCCCCUCCUGUGUUCAUCGCUUUCAUGGACCGCUGGCUCCUCCAACUCCGACUCCUUUCAGGUGCUUACAAAUUGUUGAGAAGACGAAUCUUACCCACAUGAAACUAUCAAAAAAUUGGGCUCUCAAAGUAACCUGUGACAUCAUGUGAGAUCUGAGAACAUUUUCUCCAGCUUCCUUCUUCCGGACCUGCCUCUGUGGACAAGAUUAGGUGCUUGAUGAAUGCAGAAAGACAUGUGGCAGGGUGUUGGGACAGGAUUCUGUGAGCACGAAGUAAGUCAGAACUGUCUCAGAGGUGAGCCAGGGGAUGGGCUCACGUCAUGGGCUCCAUGUCAUGAACAAUGUUUCCUCUGAGUUUUUAAAGCUGUGAGCAAGCAGCUAUAUUACAUGAGGAGCAGAAAAAUGAGUAUUCAUAAAUAUGCUGAUGGUCUAAUAAAACAAAAUUGGUGUAAAGAAUAAAAAAAAAAGAUUCGGUGCUUGAAAUACACUGCUCAUUUAGCUUCAAUGAUGCCACAAAGUUUUAUUUCUUUACCUCUCUGAAAAAU